rfam:Shigella dysenteriae Sd197, complete genome.
GCGCCCUUAGCUCAGUUGGAUAGAGCAACGACCUUCUAAGUCGUGGGCCGCAGGUUCGAAUCCUGCAGGGCGCG